CCUACGGGAGGCAGCAGUGGGGAAUUUUGGACAAUGGGCGCAAGCCUGAUCCAGCAAUGCCGCGUGAGUGAAGAAGGCCUUCGGGUUGUAAAGCUCUUUUGUCAGGGAAGAAACGGUUGAGGUUAAUAUCCU
rnacentral:rRNA from 1 species